rnacentral:rRNA from 1 species
GCGUUGUUCGGAUUAUUGGCGUAAAGAGCGCGUAGGCGGGUAAUAAGUCNGAUGUGAAAGACCAGGGCUCAACCCUGAAAGUGCAUUUGAAACUGGGAUCUUGAGGACAGGAGAGGAAAGUGGAAUUCCUAGUGUAGCGGUGAAAUGCGUAGAUAUCAGGAGGAACACCAGUGGCGAAGGCGACUUUCUGGACUGACUGACGCUGAGGCGCGAAAGCGUGGGGAGCAAACAGGAUUAGAUACCCUGGUAGUCCACGCCGUAAACGAUGAGCGCUAGGUGUAGGGGUAUNGACCCCUUCCUGUGCCGCAGUUAACGCAAUAAGCACUCCGCCUGGGGAGUACG